rnacentral:rRNA from 1 species
CGCGGCCUAUCAGCUUGUUGGUGGGGUGAUGGCCCACCAAGGCGACGACGGGUAGCCGGCCUGAGAGGGCGACCGGCCACACUGGGACUGAGACACGGCCCAGACUCCUACGGGAGGCAGCAGUGGGGAAUAUUGCACAAUGGGCGCAAGCCUGAUGCAGCGACGCCGCGUGGGGGAUGAAGGCCUUCGGGUUGUAAACCUCUUUCAGCAGGGAAGAAGCGCAAGUGACGGUACCUGCAGAAGAAGCACCGGCUAACUACGUGCCAGCAGCCGCGGUAAUACGUAGGGUGCAAGCGUUGUCCGGAUUUAUUGGGCGUAAAGAGCUCGUAGGCGGUUUGUCGCGUCUGCUGUGAAGACUCGGGGCUUAACCCCGGGCCUGCAGUGGGUACGGGCAGACUAGAGUGCGGUAGGGGAGACUGGAAUUCCUGGUGUAGCGGUGAAAUGCGCAGAUAUCAGGAGGAACACCGGUGGCGAAGGCGGGUCUCUGGGCCGUAACUGACGCUGAGGAGCGAAAGCAUGGGUAGCGAACAGGAUUAGAUACCCUGGUAGUCCAUGCCGUAAACGUUGGGCGCUAGGUGUGGGGCUCAUUCCACGAGCUCCGUGCCGCAGCAAACGCAUUAAGCGCCCCGCCUGGGGAGUACGG